AUUCUAGCACCCCAACGCCUACCUCAGCCCCCAACUCUAAAUAACUUCUUUCCACCUUGCUAAGAAUGCAACGUUGUGAUUCACAUCAAGCUUUAGGAGGCUCCCCAUAUGUAGGGAACUGGGGUGAGGGGCAGGGCAGGAUUCACUGUUCCAGGUUACGGAGCUUUGGUUAACACGGAGAGAAGCUACACAUAGACUCACACAGUAUGCAAAUACCUAUGGAGAUACAUAAGGAAAGGCCCCGGCCUGGUUAAGGAAAAGGAGCCGAUAAAACCUCUCCAGUAUGCAUUCUUAGAAACCAGAUAUACAAAGACAAGAUCUCUGCUUUCAAGAAGCUCUCAAUCUGAUUGAGGAGAGAAACAGGUAGCAAAUAAUGGCAGCAGAGCAUGGUCAUUCAACAUUUAUUCAACCAAAAAUACUAAGUCAGCUCUAUACAAACUAAUGGAAGGAUACAGCUAUGCAAAUAUAGAACACUAAAGUGUUACAUGACAGAUGUAUGAGCAGAACUGGGAAGAAAGGACCCUGAAAAGUUAGCUGGUUCCAAGUGACCCUCCAAGGUAUGGAGAUGCUUUGGGGAGCUGGUGAGGGAGGCACAGAGCAGACUGGGGAGUCAACGGAGGGGCCAAGGUGUCCCGGUGGGGCUUAUUAGAACCUGCCUGAAGGGAGGGUCUCCUAAGACACAAACCACCACUGUAGAUCGUGUAUUAGAAUUAUUCUCUAAUCUUUAUUCUGAAAGGGGAAGAGUGCUGGAUUCAGAGCCCACCUCAGGGGAAGACAGGACCCUCUCCAAGAUGGUUUCCCUAGAAGCUACUACCUCUCCCUGGAGGGUGGAGAUAUUUGCUGGUCAAAGCAAGAA
rnacentral:lncRNA from 1 species